rnacentral:rRNA from 1 species
GACGUAGGGCGCGAGCGUUGUCCGGAUUUAUUGGGCGUAAAGAGCGUGUAGGCGGCCAUACAGGUCAGCUGUGAAAACUCGAGGCUCAACCUCGAGACGUCGGUUGAAACCGUAUGGCUAGAGUCCGGAAGAGGAGAGUGGAAUUCCCGGUGUAGCGGUGAAAUGCGCAGAUAUCGGGAAGAACACCUAUGGCGAAGGCAGCUCUCUGGGACGGUACUGACGCUGAGACGCGAAAGCGUGGGGAGCGAACAGG